rnacentral:lncRNA from 1 species
CUGUGCUUGGACGACCUUUCCAUUGUUCAAUUUAUGGAAACAUAUCCUGAAUUUGGCACCACCGAAGAGAUCCUGGACCUGCUGUUUGCAAAGUAUCGAUGCAUCCAAGCGUCCCCCGAGAAAGGAGAAAUCCAGAUGCUCUGGGAAAGCACCAUGACCUCCUUCCUGACCAUCUGGCUGACCUACUACGAGGAGGACUUCGACGAUCCCCCAGAAUUUCCUGCCCUGACAAAGCUGAUGAAUUUCACGGGGCAGUACUUGCCAGACUCAACGCUGGACCGUCGAGUCAACAGUUACUCUGAAUAUUUAAGAAACCUCCAUCAAGCGGAGUUUGAGGGUGGAGGUGAGGAGGACUGGGGUGGCCGAGUGGGGACAGGGUGGGCCACACAGAUCAAGCCUCCGUGCUGCUGGGCCAGGAGCACUGGGUAG